UGCUGAUUAUGUUCAGAGUGGUGUUUGUGCCCAUGUUACGCGCUGUUCUGUAUAGUUCCUUGGGUGCCACAUGAUCAGGAUUCACCGUUAUGUUCAUCUUUCCAUCCGUGUUAGCUGAGAUUUCUUGCCCUCCGGCUUUGAUUCUAUACUCUGUUUGCAAGGCAAAGCUGGUUCUGAGGGUGUACUGCAUGUUUCUUCCCACGAACUUGAAUCCAACUGCAUCCACUGUCGCUGAUGUGUAAUAAAGAUCAGUUGGCAUGGAAAGUACCUCAAUUCCAUUGAUGAAAGCGUAGGAGUAUGGUUUCGACGGAGUGAAGCUAAGGAGCAGAAUCCCACCAUCGUUGACGUUGACCACAUAUUCUCCGAAGAUGGUUUCCGUUUUUCCUGCAUCCGCAUUUAGAGAGGUGUUAAAACCUUUUAAGAGGGUGAAUUGGUUGGAUUGAACGGUGAAAGAGGCAUCAGUGCGAGGAAAGGAGGGGUAGUCGGCAGGAUAGAAGAAGAGGCGAACAAAUUUGGGGCCAGCGGUGACGGGGAAGGAGUAAUUGAAUUGAGAACGAGACAAGCGUACUGAGGUGUAGGGGACUUGUUUGACAGAAGGAGAUUGUGUUGUUGCUUCAGUUGAAACGGUGUCAUCUUGACCACCAGAUAAGUACUUUUUGUGUAUGUCCCCUGUCCAUGUCCUUUCACCGUCGAAGGAUGUCCCGGUGGUGCCGCAACUGAUGCUGAAGUUGUCUUCCGGAGUGUACGCUUGGAUGUGUGUGGAGAAGAGGAGAAAGAGGAAUAAUGCUACAGAGUUGAUACUGAGGAACCUCAUGGUUUUCGGUGAGACACUACAAGUCAGUAAAGUUGUAAAUGAUUUUUAUUAUUAUUAGCUUGUAGUUGCUAGGAAGCAUGGGAUAAAGGAACAUUCAGAGUGUUUCUUAGUCAAAGACUAUUUGAGUGCAGUUGUGGAGGUGGUACUGAGGCACCUCAUGGUAAGUGUUAAGACCCUUCAAUUCAGUGCGGUUGUGAAGACUUAUUCAUUGCCAAGUCUUAGUUGCUAGGAAGGCCCGGAGAAAGAAACGUUCAUUGUUUGUUAGUGAAAGACUAUUUGAGAAAAGUCAAGUGUCAAAACAGGGGAAAUAAAAUAUAGAAGACGGUGAUGAUGACUUUGUCGAAGGGCUAUUUGGGUGAUGAAAUUGGCAUUGUGCUUGGAGAGAGUGAGGUGGGUUGGUGGUUAAAAUUAGAGUUAGUUUAGGCAGUGCAUGGUGGAGGGCAAAACCGGAAACAUGAAAACCAAAUCAAACAAAUAUAACAAUUGGUGGUUUUGGAUAUUUGACGAAACAAUCAUGUGAUUCUAACUAAAUUGAGGAAUAUAGGGGUUGACUAAGAUUAAUGUUUGCAAUCUCUAUACGUAAAUGAUAUGAUACUUACCUGGGAA